AGAAAACGGGAGACUUCCGCCCCGUCAUAAACAUGAGACGACUCAAUGAAUGCGUCACGUACAGGCACUUCAAGAUGGAGGGCAUACAUCUUCUGAGGGACCUAUUACAAGACAAAGAUUGGUUCACAAGACUAGACUUAAAGGAAGCAUACCUAUCGGUACCCGUCCACCAAUCCUGCCGGCAAUUCCUAAGGUUCAACUGGCAAGGCCUUCCCUGGCAAUUCACGUGCCUCCCUUUCGGCCUCAGCUCGGCCCCAUGGUGCUUCACCAAAUUACUGAAGCCCGUGGUUGCUCAUCUUCA